GUCUACGGCCAUACCACCCUGAACGCGCCCGAUCUCGUCUGAUCUCGGAAGCUAAGCAGGGUCGGGCCUGGUUAGUACUUGGAUGGGAGAGUCACAGCUGCAGUGACCC
rnacentral:rRNA from 2 species